rnacentral:lncRNA from 1 species
CUUGGAUUAUCUGAAGUCCCUCCUAUUUAUCUAUGCAUCAUGAUCUAUGCCUCUAUUAUCACAAAGAACAUGCUUGUUUUAGUGGUAGUAAACAGUUCUCAGAAGCUUCCUACACCCAUGUAUUUCUUUCUGGUGAGCCAGGCAUCUGGCUGGCUGCUUGCUCCAGUUCCUCACCUUCACCUCUCUAGAUGCAGAUGAGUAUUUCCUGCUGACUCUCAUGGCACAUGAUCACUGCCUAGCAAUCUUUUACUCCCUAUAAUACCCACGUCUCAUGAGGCCUCAAUGGUGCUUGGGGUUGGUGCUUAUAGUCUGGCUGUCUGGCUUUAUGGAAGCUGGAUUAGUGGUUGCUUUGACAGCCCAGCUGAGGUUCUGUGGCCCCAACCUAAUUGAUCACUUUUACUGUGAUUUCUCACCUUUGAUGAUCCUGGCUUGCUCAGAUACCUGAGUGGCCCAGAUGUCUACAUUUGUUCUCUUUGUUGUCUUCUUACCUGUUCUCUCUGGGCUGAUUCUGAUGUCCUAUGCUCAGUUUGUGGUGAUUGUGCUGAGAAUUCCCUCUGGGGCCAGAAGGACCAAGGCCUUCUUCACAUGCUCUUCUCACCUGGCUAUGAUGUUCACAUUCUAUGGAUCACUCAUGGUGUGGUACACUGCGCCCUCUGCUGUCCUUAGUUUGCACACUCCUCUCCAAGGUCAUUGCUCUGCUCUACACAGUGUUUGCCCCCAUUUUCAAUUCUGUCAUCUACACCUUGAGGAACCUGGACAUGCAGAAAGCACUAAGAAGGCUUCUU